rnacentral:sRNA from 1 species
GAUAACAUUUAGUAAUUUAGGAGAGAAAAUUAAAGGCAUUGUUGAAAAUAUGGGAAUCAAUGCAAAUAACAUGAGUGACUUUAUCAUGAAAGUCGAUGCCCUUAUGUCCUCUGUGCCUAAGCGUGCAUCUCAAUAUGAUGUCACAUUUCUUAGGGAGAAUCACAGUGUUAUAAAGAUGAAUCCUCAAGAGAAUGAUAUGUUCUUCAAUGUCAUUGCUAUUGUUGAUCCAUUAACAAGAGAAGCACAGAAAAUGGCACAGUUGUUGGUUGUACUUGGCAAGAUUAUCAACAUGAAGAUAAAGUUGUUCAUGAACUGUAGGGGCAGGCUUUCAGAAGCCCCUUUACAGAGCUUUUACCGUUUUGUUCUGGAACCAGAACUGAUGUCAGGGGCUAAUGACGUUUCUUCUCUUGGACCAGUGGCAAAAUUUUUGGAUAUUCCUGAAUCACCCCUCCUAAUCCUCAACAUGAUUACUCCAGAAGGCUGGUUGGUUGAAACAGUACACAGCAACUGUGACCUUGAUAAUAUUCACUUAAAGGAUACUGAGAAAACUGUUACAGCAGAAUAUGAGCUAGAAUACUUACUACUGGAAGGACAAUGCUUUGAUAAAGUGACAGAACAGCCUCCUCAGGGUCUGCAGUUCACACUAGGCACAAAAAAUAAACCUGUUGUGGUUGAUACAAUAGUGAUGGCCAAUCAUGUAAGUAUUAUUUAAUUGAUGAUAUUUAAUUUGAUGUUUUGGUGAAAUUCUCUGUUUUCUUAAGAGUAAAGUGAAAUAAUCUUUAUUCUGCUGUUGCUGAACAGUUUGCAGAAAACAAAAUUGAAUCUUUGAAUAAGAUAAAUAAAACAAAAAUGGGGAAAAUCAUACUUUAAUAAUAUUUUUAACAGGUUAUUGUAAAAUCUCUUGGAAUUGAUUUAUAGAAUUUAUUCAUUCUACAGUUAGUAAAUACUUUCUUGGAUCAUUCAUAUAUUCAUGAGCAGUUUGAUGGUUUUUAGUCAUAUUACUCAAUGAUUAUUUUUUUCUCAUCUUAAAAGGGGUAUUUUCAAUUAAAAGCAAAUCCAGGUGCUUGGAUACUGAGGUUACACCAAGGAAAAUCUGAAGAUAUUUAUCAAAUAGUUGGGUGAGUUAUGCAGACUGCUUUUAAAUUUUUACACAUAAAUACGUUUUUAGUGUAAUACAACCAAGAUAAUCAAAACAACAAUUAAAAUGUUAAGAUUGGCCUGGCGCAGUGGCUCAAGCCUGUAAUCCCAACAGUUUGGUAGGCCGAGGCAGGCAGAUCACGAGGCCAGGAGUUCAAGACCUGCCUGGCCAACGUGGCAAAACCCCGUCUGUACUAAAAAUACAAAAAUUUGCCAGGCAUAGUGGCGCACACCUGUAACUUCAGCUAUUCAGGAGGCUGAGGCCCAAGAAUUGCUUGAAUCUUUGGGAGGCAGAGGCUGCAGUGAGCAGAGACUGCACCACUGCACUCCAGCCCGGAACAGAGAGCAAGACUCUGUCUC